rnacentral:rRNA from 1 species
UUCCGGUUGAUCCUGCCGGACCCUAUUGCUAUCGGGAUAAGACUAAGCCAUGCUAGUUGUGCGCUUCCUAGCUAUGUUGGAAGAGCAGCAAACGGCUCCGUAACACGUAGUUAAUCUGCCCUUAGGACAGACAUAACCUUGGGAAACUGAGGCUAAUAUCUGAUAGGUGGAAACGCCUGGAAUGGUCUUCCGCUUAAAGGUUUUUGGAGACACGCCUCCAAGAAUGCCUAAGGAUGAGACUGCGGCCGAUCAGGCUGUUGGUGAGGUAACGGCUCACCAAACCUAUAACCGGUACGGGCCCUGAGAGGGGGAGCCCGGAGAUGGGAACUGAGACAAGGUCCCAGGCCCUACGGGGCGCAGCAGGCGCGAAACCUCCACAAUGCGCGAAAGCGUGAUGGGGUUAUCCCGAGUGCCGUCCGUUGAGGAGGGCUUUUCCCCAGUGUAAGGAGCUGGGGGAAUAAAGGGGGGGCAAGACUGGUGUCAGCCGCCGCGGUAAUACCAGCCCCCUGAGUUAUAGGGACGAUUAUUUAGCCUAAAGCGUUCGUAGCCGGCUCAGCAAGUCUUUCGUUAAAUCUAACGACUCAAUCGUUAGGCCGCGGAAGAUACUACUAGGCUUGAGGACGGGAGAGGUCGACGGUAUUCCCGGUGUAGGGGUGAAAUCCAAUAAUCCCGGGAGGACCACCAGUGGCGAAGGCGGUCGACCAGAACGUGCCUGACGGUGAUGGACGAAAGCUGGGGGAGCAAACCGGAUUAGACACCCGGGUAGUCCCAGCUGUAAACGAUGCGAGCUAGGUGUUGGGGUAGCCACGAGCUGUCCCAGUGCCGCAGAGAAGUUGUUAAGCUCGCCGCUUGGGGAGUACGGCCGCAAGGUUGAAACUUAAAGGAAUUGGCGGGGGAGCACACAAGGGGUGAAGCCUGCGGUUUAAUUGGAUUCACGCCGGA